GACGAACGCUGGCGGCGUGCUUAACACAUGCAAGUCGAGCGGAAAGGCCACUUCGGUGGUACUCGAGCGGCGAACGGGUGAGUAACACGUGAGUAAUCUGCCCUUGGCUUUGGGAUAGCCACCGGAAACGGUGAUUAAUACCGGAUAUGACCACUCUAGGCAUCUAGGGGUGGUGGAAAGUUUUUCGGCCAGGGAUGUGCUCGCGGCCUAUCAGCUUGAUGGUGAGGUAAUGGCUCACCAUGGCUUCGACGGGUAGCCGGCCUGAGAGGGUGACCGGUCACACUGGGACUGAGACACGGCCCAGACUCCUACGGGAGGCAGCAGUGGGGAAUAUUGGACAAUGGGCGGAAGCCUGAUCCAGCAACGCCGCGUGAGGGAUGACGGCCUUCGGGUUGUAAACCUCUUUCGGUAGGGACGAAGCGUGAGUGACGGUACCUACUAAAGAAGCACCGGCCAACUACGUGCCAGCCGCCGCGGUAACAC
rnacentral:rRNA from 1 species